GGAGAGAAUCAGCAACUCACUGCACACAGUAGGGGUGCAAUAAAUGUUAGCUGAACCGAGCAUAGUGAAAUAAGCAUAGGCCCACGGGGAAGAGAGAAAAAGGUGUUCUGCACACACAUGCAUGGAAAUGUGCCUCUGUGUGCGCCUCUCUGCAGGGAGCAAGGAGCAAAGAAGGCAUUUGCCAUCUUCCAAGCUGGUUCCCGACAUCAUCGUGAGGCCUUGUGGUCUCAACAUCACCCCGCACAAAGACAGCGCGGCGGGAUGUGUGCUCCCAGGCGGUCCAGGGAAAACGUGCGACCUUCACUGGGGUCUGACAUUGUUUGCAGUGUCACUUCAGCAUCCUUUUCUGUCUUUCCUUUCUCUCUCCUUUCUUUAAGGGAGAUUCUUCAGAGUGAAGACAGAAGUAUGUAGAAAAGGGAAGGCAUCCCGGUGACAAUUACCGAGACCUGGUGGCAGGAGGCCUCCCUCACCUCAUGCUGCCUCGAAGCUGCUCUGUGCGUGAUUUCACCUGAUGGUGACUUCCGUCAAUUCCUGUCUAUUUUCACUCCUUUUCUCAGGUCACUGUGGCUUCAAGGGACUUUGGAGUAAGUCUCGAAGGAGGCAGGAAAUGCUGAUGAUCACCAGUUUACAGAACCAGAAGUUCUGAGGACUCCAGGGACACCCAGCAGACAUCCUUGCCUGAGGCUUCAGAGGAAGGGCUAAAGAAUGGAGGUACAAACCAUGUGCAUGGAAAGUGACUCUUCUCGGGUGAAGAACCAUCUACCCGCCCUAGCAAGAGUGUGUGCCCACUCUAACAGUCCCACGGCAGGAAUGUUGGGUACACGGGAACCCUGGCAGCAGCUGCUAAGGACUCUGGAGCCUACGUGACUUCCCAUAUCAGAGCCUCCCCAAUGAUCAGAUUUUUACAAGACUGGGCACUGGAUUUCUACCAUUAUAAAGACACUUUCAGGUCACUUUAUCUGGGGUCUUGGUUAUGAGCAAUUUUUAGAUCUAUGUGAAAUUAGUCGAGAUGUCGUAGGUUACUUUACAUAUACAGCAACCCCCCUUUUCCAAAAUAUAAUUGUAAAGAAAGAAAUAAAGAGUGGCUAAAGUUCUAUUUUCACUGGACACUGAUGCUUUUUAUUUCUGAGAAUGGCAACCAGGCUAAGACGGUAGUUAUUGGCUCUUAUCAUAUCCACAUUUCCAAUGAGCAUAGUUCCUGAUAUAUCAACCCACAGUCAAUACAAGGAUGCAAAGAAAGAGAAGCAGACUGCUUUUAAAAGCAGAUAAAUCAACAAUACCAAGAUAGAACAGUCAGAGAAGAGACUGCAAAAAUAUAAGAAAUAGAUAUGGUAAUUUAAAAUCAAUACAUAAAGUCCAGGACUCAUAUACAUGGACAAUCUUUCACCCCUAAAAACCUCUUAAGGAUAGCAAAAACAUAGCUUGACAUAAUAAUGGAUGUCUAGAAUAUUUUUGAAUCAUAUUCUACUUUCAAAGUACAUAACUAAUUAAUAAAUAUUUCCAGAGCAUUAAUCAUCUUGAAACUGUGGUUAUUUUAAAUCUCUCAAUUUAUGUGAUGUCCCACACAUAAGCUAUUUUGUACAGUUCAUUGUUAAAUAAGCUAUACCUGAGUGUCAUAUAUGUACUCAGAGUUACAAUCAUGUAUUCUAUACCUACUUUGUCAGGCCUUGCCCAUCUGUAAUGUCCAUGAAUCACACUCCCUGGAUAUGUGUGUCUAAUAACUCCUGGCCUAAUUUGGACCCUGACAAAUAAACAGCUCAUUACAACAUUCCAUAAAACUUCUAGGAAAGGAAAGUUAUAUGCAAUGUGGAUGAAAGAAAAACAUCACUGUAAUUAUAAGGAGCCAAUGCUAAAUGAUAACAGAUAAACCACGUAAAAACUGGACAAAGAGGAUGAGUCAGUUGUCUGCCGAGAAGCAAAUCCAAACCUUUUCACAUUUGUGAAAAGGUGCAGAAAGCACAAUGUAAAAGAGCAACAAGCUAUCACUCCUCACCUAUCAGGUUAGCAAAAGUAAAAGAGAACUGGUAAUAUGUGCUGCUGACAAAGAUAUGGGGAAAGUUUCCUUCACACAUGC
ensembl:lncRNA